AUUAGCAGACCCAGGAGAAAUGAACACAGGCGGGCAAAACAACAGAUGUGUGAUACAAGUUUUCAUGAGAGCCAAUUGCUCUAAGACAGUUUUCAUUCUCAUUUGGCUUUUGCCAUGGAAGGAACUGUAGUGUUGACUGAUGCCAUGAGAAGAGUUAAGAACAUCUUUUGGAUUGAGAGAAAAGUAAACAGAGCACUCUCAUCUAUAUCAGGGGCUGGAAGCAAGCCCCUGGAAGAAGACACGGCUGCCGACACACCUCCAGCCUGCACGAGGAUGCUUUCCUGCCUCAAGGAGUAGAAACCUCCCUUGAAUUCAAUAGAAAUUCCUGCAAAACAGGAAUUCCAGAGGCGGGGCCACUGUGGCGGCAGUGAAGCCCAGGUUUGGUGUCCCUGGGUUCUCUGGCCCUGAGCUCCUCUGCUGCUGCUCUGUUCUCAGCAGCCUCACUUGUGCUGGCGUAGUGGCUUCCAGAGGCAACUGGGACAGGUUCAUGCUCAGCAAGAGAGCUGGGAAACCUCUCUUCCACCCACAGGUUCAAGGACCGUUCCUUCAGUCCACCUGGACCAACAUAGGUCUCUCCCCACUCCCUGGACCAAUGACAGCCGCCAGAGGCAUGCCAGGUGCUGACUGGAUACCUGAACACAUGAGAUGAGCUUAGCAUGCUGGCUCCACUAACCAGGACCCUCACUGGAGCUAGAGCUGGUCCAGGGGCCUCGGUCACGUGGCUUGAGUGGAGGAGGGAAGAAGGCUUGGAUGCAGGUAGACCUUAUAUUGUGUUUAACUGGGCUGUACAUGUUUAACGGGUUCUAACAUAAAUAUUUUUCAUUAAAAAACA